rnacentral:rRNA from 1 species
CAGAGUUUGAUCCUGGCUCAGAGCGAACGCUGGCGGCAGGCCUAACACAUGCAAGUCGAACGAUCCUUCGGGAUAGUGGCGGACGGGUGAGUAACACGUGGGAAUAUGCCUUUUGGUUCGGGAUAACUGAGGGAAACUUCAGCUAAUACCGGAUAAGCCCUAAGGGGGAAAGAUUUAUCGCCGAAAGAGUAGCCCGCGUUGGAUUAGCUAGUUGGUGGGGUAAUGGCCCACCAAGGCUACGAUCCAUAGCUGGUCUGAGAGGAUGAUCAGCCACACUGGGACUGAGACACGGCCCAGACUCCUACGGGAGGCAGCAGUGGGGAAUCUUGCGCAAUGGGCGAAAGCCUGAUCCAGCAAUGCCGCGUGUGUGAAGAAGGCCUUCGGGUUGUAAAGCACUUUUGUCCGGAAAGAAAUGGCUCUGGUUAAUACCUGGGGUCGAUGACGGUACCGGAAGAAUAAGGACCGGCUAACUACGUGCCAGCAGCCCCGGUCAA